AACGAACGCUGGCGGCAUGCCUAACACAUGCAAGUCGAACGAAACCUUCGGGUCUAGUGGCGCACGGGUGCGUAAGGCGGGGGAAGCUGCCCUUAGGUUCGGAAUAACUCCCUUAAAGGGGUGCUAAUGCCGGUUGAUGUCUUCGGGCCAAAGAUUUAUCGCCAUUGGAUGGGCGCGGGUUGGAUUCGCUGGUUGGUAGUGUAAAAGCAUACCAAGGCGACGUUCCAUAGCUGGUCGGAGAGGAUGCCCAGCCACACUGGGACUGAGACACGGCCCAGACUGCUACGCGAGGCAGCAGUGGGGAAUAUUGUACAAUGGGCGAAAGCCUGACCAAGCAAUGCCGGGUGAGUGAUGAAGGCCUUAGGGUUGUAAAGCUCUUUUACCCGGGAUGAUAAUGACAGUACCGGGAGAAUAAGCACCGGCUAACUCCGUG
rnacentral:rRNA from 1 species